rnacentral:lncRNA from 1 species
GGAAGUGGGGUUGUAGUAGUAAACUUAUUCUCAGAGAAAGGUAGUAUACUAUUUAUUUCGUUUAUUUUUUUAAAAAAUAAAUUUAACUAGAAAUAUUAAAAUAAUUAUAUUUGAAAUUUGAAACUUCCGACGGCUAAGCACUAGGGACGGGUCCAUAUGUGGUGUUUAAUUAUUAAAAUAAAAUUUAUUUUAUUCAAAUAUUAGUUGUUAAAUAUUUUUUUAUAUUAAUUAUAUUAGUAUAAAAUAAAAAUAUAUAAAAUUUAUGAGAAUUAUGAAUCAUUUUGAAAUGACUAUUCAAUCUUUCGAC